GAUUGAACGCUGGCGGUAUGCUUAACACAUGCAAGUCGAACGGAAACGAUACUAGCUUGCUAGUAGGCGUCGAGUGGCGGACGGGUGAGUAACGCGUAGGAAUCUGCCUGAUAGUGGGGGAUAGCCCGAAGAAAUUCGGAUUAAUACCGCAUAAUCUAUUCGUAGUAAAGUGGGGGACUUUCGAGCCUCACGCUAUCAGAUGAGCCUGCGUAAGAUUAGCUUGUUGGUAGGGUAAAAGCCUACCAAGGCGACGAUCUUUAGCUGGUCUGAGAGGAUGAUCAGCCACAUCGGGACUGAGACACGGCCCGAACUCCUACGGGAGGCAGCAGUGGGGAAUAUUGGACAAUGGGGGCAACCCUGAUCCAGCAAUACCGCGUGUGUGAAGAAGGCCUGAGGGUUGUAAAGCACUUUCAAUUGUGAAGAAAAGUUAGCGGUUAAUAACCGUUAGCCUUGACGUUAACUUUAGAAGAAGCACCGGCUAACUCCGUGCCAGCAGCCGCGGUAAUACGGAGGGUGCAAGCGUUAAUCGGAAUUACUGGGCGUAAAGCGUGCGUAGGCGGUUUAUUAAGUCAGAUGUGAAAGCCCCGGGCUUAACCUGGGAACUGCAUUUGAAACUGGUCAACUAGAGUAUGGUAGAGGAAAGUGGAAUUUCUGGUGUAGCGGUGAAAUGCGUAGAUAUCAGAAGGAACAUCAAUGGCGAAGGCAGCUUUCUGGACCAAUACUGACGCUGAGGUACGAAAGCGUGGGUAGCAAACAGGAUUAGAUACCCUGGUAGUCCACGCCGUAAACGAUGAUAACUAGCCGUUGGGGGGAUUUACCCUUUAGUGGCGAAGCUAACGCGUUAAGUUAUCCGCCUGGGGAGUACGGCCGCAAGGUUAAAACUCAAAGGAAUUGACGGGGACCCGCACAAGCGGUGGAGCAUGUGGUUUAAUUCGAUGCAACGCGAAGAACCUUACCUGGUCUUGACAUCCUGCGAACUUUCUAGAAAUAGAUUGGUGCCUUCGGGAACGCAGUGACAGGUGCUGCAUGGCUGUCGUCAGCUCGUGUCGUGAGAUGUUGGGUUAAGUCCCGUAACGAGCGCAACCCCUAUCCUUAUUUGCCAGCACAUCAUGGUGGGAACUAUAAGGAGACUGCCGGUGAUAAACCGGAGGAAGGCGGGGACGACGUCAAGUCAUCAUGGCCCUUACGACCAGGGCUACACACGUGCUACAAUGGGAAGGACAAAGAGCCGCGAAGCCGCGAGGUGUAGCUAAUCUCAUAAACCUUUUCGUAGUCCGGAUUGGAGUCUGCAACUCGACUCCAUGAAGUCGGAAUCGCUAGUAAUCGUAGAUCAGAAUGCUACGGUGAAUACGUUCCUGGGUCUUGUACACACC
rnacentral:rRNA from 1 species